rnacentral:rRNA from 1 species
GACGAACGCUGGCGGCGUGCCUAAUACAUGCAAGUCGAGCGAGUCUGCCUUGAAGAUCGGAGUGCUUGCACUCUGUGAAACAAGAUACAGGCUAGCGGCGGACGGGUGAGUAACACGUGGGUAACCUGCCCAAGAGAUCGGGAUAACACCUGGAAACAGAUGCUAAUACCGGAUAACAACAGAUGAUGCCUAUCAACUGUUUAAAAGAUGGUUCUGCUAUCACUCUUGGAUGGACCUGCGGUGCAUUAGCUAGUUGGUAGGGUAACGGCCUACCAAGGCGAUGAUGCAUAGCCGAGUUGAGAGACUGAUCGGCCACAUUGGGACUGAGACACGGCCCAAACUCCUACGGGAGGCAGCAGUAGGGAAUCUUCCACAAUGGACGCAAGUCUGAUGGAGCAACGCCGCGUGAGUGAAGAAGGGUUUCGGCUCGUAAAGCUCUGUUGUUGGUGAAGAAGGACAGGGGUAGUAACUGACCUUUGU